UACAGAGGUCUCAAGCGUUGUCCGGAUUCAUUGGGCGUAAAGGGUGCGUAGGCGGCGCGGUAAGUCGGGUGUGAAAUCUCGGAGCUUAACUCCGAAACUGCAUUCGAUACUGCCGUGCUUGAGGACUGGAGAGGAGACUGGAAUUUACGGUGUAGCGGUGAAAUGCGUAGAUAUCGUAAGGAAGACCAGUGGCGAAGGCGGGUCUCUGGACAGCUCCUGACGCUGAGGCACGAAGGUCAGGGGAGCAAACGGG
rnacentral:rRNA from 1 species